GAGGGGCUCGCGGCCUAUCAGCUAGUUGGCGGGGUAAUGGCCCACCAAGGCGACGACGGGUAGCUGGUCUGAGAGGAUGGCCAGCCACAUUGGGACUGAGAGACGGCCCAGACUCCUACGGGAGGCAGCAGUGGGGAAUCUUGCGCAAUGGCCGAAAGGCUGACGCAGCGACGCCGCGUGUGGGAGGAAGCUCUUCGGGGUGUAAACCACUGUUGCCCGGGACGAACAUGGUCUUUCGAGACCACUGACGGUACCGGGUGAGGAAGCACCGGCUAACUCUGUGCCAGCAGCCGCGGUAAUACAGAGGGUGCGAGCGUUGUCCGGAAUCACUGGGCGUAAAGGGCGCGUAGGCGGCUUGAUAAGCGUGCGGUGAAAGCCCGGGGCUCAACCCCGGGUCGGCCGUGCGAACUGUCGAGCUGGAGCACUGUAGAGGCAGGUGGAAUUCCGGGUGUAGCGGUGGAAUGCGUAGAGAUCCGGAAGAACACCGGUGGCGAAGGCGGCCUGCUGGGCAGUGGCUGACGCUGAGGCGCGACAGCGUGGGGAGCAAACAGGAUUAGAUACCCUGGUAGUCCACGCCGUAAACGAUGGGCACUAGGUGC
rnacentral:rRNA from 1 species